rnacentral:rRNA from 1 species
UACGAGGGGGGCGAGCGUUGUUCGGAAUUAUUGGGCGUAAAGGGUGCGUAGGCGGUUUGGUAAGUCUGAUGUGAAAUCUAUGGGCUCAACUCAUAGUCUGCAUCGGAAACUGCCGGGCUUGAGUGUGGGAGAGGUGAGUGGAAUUCCUGGUGUAGCGGUGAAAUUCGUAGAUAUUCGGAAGAACACCAGUGGCGAAGGCGACUCACUGGACACGUAUUGACGCUGAGGUGCGAAAGCGUGGGGAGCAAACAGG